GGAUCUGGAAGUGGAUUCAGUGCUGUAUGGGGAGCCAGAGGAGGUGCUGAAGGAUGGGUGUGAUGUGGGCUCUGGAGCGGGAGUGGAUGUUCCUGCCUCUGUGUGACUGACGGAGCCUCUCUUUACUCUGACGAUGAGCUGCAGGGCAAAUCUUCUAAAGACGAGUCAGGGCACCGACAGAGACAUCUUUCACGCUCAUGAUGUUUCCAUUCUGGGUCAGAAGUGUAUAAAAACUGCAAGUGAGUGAGUGAUGACCGAUAGAAGCUCCUGACGCCAUCUCUGCGCUGUCCAAGAGUCAGUUUUCCUGCAUUAACACCCCUGCAAUGCACCACUGACAGAACCCCAGCCAAAAGAAGGAGAGAAUAAGAGGAGACGCUGCAUGUUUACAAUGAAGUGGAGUCUUCACCUCAGCCAAGCUUCUCCUCUUCUCUAUAAACUCAUCCGCAGACUCAAACCCCCUCCUCAGCUACAAGUGACAUUAGAGCAUGUGGUCUCUUCUUUUAGAAAAAAUGAUGCAUCAGAGUGAGAGUAUUUCUGACUUAUAGAAAAGCUCUGAAAACAAACUGAGAAACACUUCUUUUAAACUCUUUGUCUCAUUUUUUGACGCAGGACUUCAGUGGACAUCUGAACUCCUCAGACAGAGGCAGAGAUAAAGUCACCACAGAUUCUCUCUCACUCUUUAUAAAGCUUCCAGCAGAGACACAGAGAUGUCAAACAACAACUAAGAUUUAAUUCACAAAAAGAAUUAGGUAAGGAAAAGAUUCAGACAAACUCAAGUUCAGCCGGUCACAUGACACUUGAAACUUGACCAUCCUCAUCGUAUGUUUUAUGUUAUUGUUUCAACCCUCAAAGCUUUGACUUGAUCUUGAAUAAGUGUCUUCAUGUUGA